UUGGAGGGCAAGUCUGGUGCCAGCAGCCGCGGUAAUUCCAGCUCCAAUAGCGUAUAUUAAAGUUGUUGCAGUUAAAAAGCUCGUAGUUGAAUUUCGGGAUUGACGUGAUGGUCAUGCCUUAAGGGGUAUGAACUGUUACUGUUGAUUUCUCACCUUCUGGAGAAACUUGAUGUCCUUUAUUGGGUGUCUUGCGGGUCCAGGACCUUUACCUUGAAAAAAUUAGAGUGUUUAAAGCAGGCAUUUUUUGCUCGAAUACAUUAGCAUGGAAUAAUAGAAUAGGACGGCAUGGUUCUAUUUUGUUGGUUUCUAGGAUCACCAUAAUGAUUAAUAGGGAUAGUUGGGGGCAUUAGUAUUCAAUUGUCAGAGGUGAAAUUCUUGGAUUUAUUGAAGACUAACCACUGCGAAAGCAUUUGCCAAGGAUGUUUUCACUAAUCAAGAACGAAAGUUAGGGGAUCGAAGACGAUCAGAUACCGUCGUAGUCUUAACCAUAAACUAUGCCGACUAGGAAUCAGACGAUGUUAAUUUUUUAAUGACUCGUUUGGCACCUUACGGGAAACCAAAGUGUUUGGGUUC
rnacentral:rRNA from 1 species